rnacentral:rRNA from 1 species
GACGAACCGUGCGAACGUUGUUCGGAAUCACUGGGUUUAAAGGGCGCGUAGGCGGGCUGUCAAGUCGGUGGUGAAAUCUUUCAGCUUAACUGGAAAAUGGCCUUCGAUACUGGCGGUCUGGAGGAAGGUAGGGGCAUGCGGAACUUCCGGUGGAGCGGUGAAAUGCGUAGAUAUCAGGAGGAACACCUGUGGCGAAAGCGGCUCACUGGACCAUAACUGACGCUGAUGCACGAAAGCUAGGGGAGCAAACAGG